rnacentral:rRNA from 1 species
GACCAAGGAGUCUAACACGUGCGCGAGUCGCAGGGCAGUACGAAACCCGAAGGCGUAAUGAAAGUGAAGGUCGUCCUAGCGUCGGCCUAGGUGGGAUCUCGGGGCGAGCGAUCGCGACGAGCGCACCACCGGCCCGUCUCGGCCGCAGCGUCGGCGAGGCGGAGCAAGAGCGUACUUGUUGGGACCCGAAAGAUGGUGAACUAUGCCUGAGUAGGACGAAGCCAGAGGAAACUCUGGUGGAGGUCCGCAGCGAUUCUGACGUGCAAAUCGAUCGUCAAACUUGGGUAUAGGGGCGAAAGACUAAUCGAACCAUC